rnacentral:rRNA from 1 species
GACGAACGCUGGCGGCGUGCUUAACACAUGCAAGUCGAACGGAAAGGCCCUGCUUUUGUGGGGUGCUCGAGUGGCGAACGGGUGAGUAACACGUGAGUAACCUGCCCUUGACUUUGGGAUAACUUCAGGAAACUGGGGCUAAUACCGGAUAGGAGCUCCUGCUGCAUGGUGGGGGUUGGAAAGUUUCGGCGGUUGGGGAUGGACUCGCGGCUUAUCAGCUUGUUGGUGGGGUAGUGGCUUACCAAGGCUUUGACGGGUAGCCGGCCUGAGAGGGUGACCGGCCACAUUGGGACUGAGAUACGGCCCAGACUCCUACGGGAGGCAGCAGUGGGGAAUAUUGCCCAAUGGGCGGACGCCUGAUGCAGCAACGCCGCGUGCGGGAUGACGGCCUUCGGGUUGUAAACCGCUUUCGCCUGUGACGAAGCGUGAGUGACGGUAAUGGGUAAAGAAGCACCGGCUAACUACGUG